GCUGGGCAUGGUGGCCCACACCUGUAAUCCCAGCAGCUUGGGAGGUUGAGACAGGAGGAUCGAAAGUUCAAAGCAAGCCUCAUCAAUUUAGCAAGAUUGUAAGCAACUUAGCAAGACCCUGUCUCAA
rnacentral:sRNA from 1 species